UACGGGAGGCAGCAGUGGGGAAUAUUGCACAAUGGGCGCAAGCCUGAUGCAGCCAUGCCGCGUGUAUGAAGAAGGCCUUCGGGUUGUAAAGUACUUUCAGUCGUGAGGAAGGUGUUAAGGUUAAUAACCUUAGCAAUUGACGUUAGCGACAGAAGAAGCACCGGCUAACUCCGUGCCAGCAGCCGCGGUAAUACGGAGGGUACGAGCGUUAAUCGGAAUUACUGGGCGUAAAGGGCACGCAGGCGGUUAAUUAAGUUGGAUGUGAAAUCCCCGGGCUUAACCUGGGAAUGGCAUUCAAGACUGGUUAGCUAGAGUCUUGUAGAGGGGGUAGAAUUCCAUGUGUAGCGGUGAAAUGCGUAGAGAUGUGGAGGAAUACCGGUGGCGAAGGCGGCCCCUGGACAAAGACUGACGCUCAUGUGCGAAAGCGUGGGGAGCAAACAGGGAUUAGAUACCCGU
rnacentral:rRNA from 1 species